rnacentral:rRNA from 1 species
UAAGCGGAGGAAAAGAAACUAACAAGGAUUCCCCUAGUAACUGCGAGUGAAGCGGGAAAAGCUCAAAUUUAAAAUCUGGUGGUCUUUGCCAUUCGAGUUGUAAUUUAGAGAAGCGUCUUCCGCGCUGGACCGUGCACAAGUCUCCUGGAAUGGAGCGUCAUAGAGGGUGAGAAUCCCGUCUUUGGCACGGACACACCAGGGCUUUUGUGAUGCGCUCUCGAAGAGUCGAGUUGUUUGGGAAUGCAGCUCAAAAUGGGUGGUGAACUCCAUCUAAAGCUAAAUAUUGGCGAGAGACCGAUAGCGAACAAGUACCGUGAGGGAAAGAUGAAAAGCACUUUGGAAAGAGAGUGAAACAGUACGUGAAAUUGUUGAAAGGGAAACGCUUGAAGUCAGUCACGUCGACCGAGACUCAGCCUUGCCUUGGCUUGGUGUACUUCUCGGCUGACGGGUCAGCAUCAAUUUUGCCCCUUGGAUAAUGGCGAGGGAAAUGUGACACCUUUACGGUGUGUUAUAGUCUCUCGUCGCAUGCAAGGGUUGGGAUUGAGGAACUCAGCACGCGCCUUUGGGUGUCGGGGCUUUGCCCACGAUACGUGCUUAGGAUGUUGGCAUAAUGGCUUUAAACGACC